rnacentral:rRNA from 1 species
UACAGAGGUCUCGAGCGUUAGGCGGAAUCACUGGGCUUAAAGCGUGUGUAGGCGGAUCGUUAAGUGCGUUGUGAAAUCCCACGGCUCAACCGUGGAACUGCUUGGCAUACUGGCGGUCUUGAGCAACCUAGGGGCGAGCGGAACAAAUGGUGGAGCGGUGAAAUGCGUAGAUAUCGUCUGGAACGCCAAAGGUGAAAACAGGUCGCUGGGGCUGAGCUGACGCUGAGACACGAAAGCCAGGGGAGCGAACGGG